GCUGAGAAUUAAAUCAGAUAAAAAGUCUGAGAAAUCAGACAGAAACUCUGUGUAAGGCCCAGGUGGACGAUAGAUGAUAACAAAUAGGCCUGGUUUUUGAGUUUUCCAGCUGGGGUGGACAAGGCUAAGCAUCAGGCUUUCAAAUGAAUUAAAAGUCGGUCUGGGUCUUUGGUUGAUUGAUAGGCUGGUGUUGAGGCAAGAGUAAGGCAAAGUAAAUCGAUUUGUUGAACAAUUAUUAAUUCAUGUACUAACAAAGACUUGGAAGAGAGAGAGACCUAGUGUUUAAUAAUCCACAUUUCACUGUUUUACUCUUUGGUGCAGAUGUGGAUACUUUUUGUUCUUUCUUUGUGAUUUUUUUUUAUGUUUAAGUUGUUUCUCCUCACAGGAGAGGCUGAUGGCUGAUGACAAAACACACAGACAAAACACGGACAGAUGGGACAGCUAGAUGCAACAAUGCAUCUUAGAUGAUGUGGAGUAACAGAAAAUGCUAACUUUGGGGCUUUAAAAUGCUGAGUCAAGAAAGCAUCAUGGUGGCUUUAUCUGUCUUUUAUAUUUUGUUUAUACAGAUACAGAUCCAGCUUUUCACUGAUAAUGAGGACCGAGAUAACUGCCAAUAUCCAGCAAAACUUUAUAUUUUUGUUGUCGUUUUAAUUGAGAGAUUACAUCCAUGUGAAUGUAACUAUGGGCAACCUAUAGCCUUAACCAUGUUUUCUUUUAUUGCGACCAUAGAGACAAGGGUCUGCAAACUGUGAUAAUGGGCUUAUUUAAAGCCAAAAAUGGGCUUUACUCAAACCCAACUGAGGAGCAUUUGUUCCUUCACCUAUCAAAACUUUUCCAUCGUCAGAAAUGGUUUUGUUCUUUUGAUUUCAACAGGAAUUUUAAACACUGUAUAUAUGGAACAUUUGCAGCCUCUCUGCCAUAAACAAAUAAUGCGUGAUUGUUUAGGCUGGAAGACUUUAAAUUAUGGUGUGUUGUAUUUUUCUGAGCCAGUUUCCUCCAUAUAGACAGCCUAUCUCACUCAUUUUGCAAAAGACAUUAGUUUUCUUCUGGAUUGGAGUUUUUUUAAUUACAUUUUUGUAUUGCAUAUUAAUGAAAUUAUAUUUUGUGUCAUUUUUCAUGUAUCCACUGGUUAAAAAAAAAAAAAAAUCAGACAUAUUCAGACUCUGUAGCUGGACAGAAAGUGUCUCAUCUCAGCUGUCUUUUCAGGGCAGUGUUCACAAGCCUUUAUCACCUCCAGUUAAUCAAUUCACUCCAGAGGAAACUCCAGACAAAAGACACCAAUAGACAAGCAUCUCUCUUUCUCCAUCCAUGCAGUUCUACAUUAGCAGUACUGGCCUUCAAGUUGCCUUGGUAACGCAGGUUGUAAUCGUGUCUGAGUCAGAAGCUAAAGUGAAUGUCCCUGAAACUUGUAAAAGAUAUUUAUCCGGAAGGAGAGCAGUGAAAAAAAAAAUACAGGCAGAACUCGGCUCCAACACAAAACCUCUGAAGGCAAACAGAGGAGCAGAAAGAAGGCAAGGUCAGACCCUUCCCCCAACGCCCCCUUCCACCCCACCACCGAAUAUCCACCUCCACAUGCUCACGAUUUUUAAACACACACACACACACACACACACACGAGUUUGAAUGUGCGGCUCUUUAAAUCAGAAACGUAAACUGUUACAUCAGUGCAUUGUACUGAUAAUGAAUUCACGUUGCAAGUAUAUCACCAGAGAUCUUUAGGGCCACUGCACAUGAGCUCCAACUCAUCACUUUUAUC
ensembl:lncRNA